GAUGAACGCUGGCGGCGUGCCUAAUACAUGCAAGUCGAGCGAACAGACGAGGAGCUUGCUCCUCUGACGUUAGCGGCGGACGGGUGAGUAACACGUGGAUAACCUACCUAUAAGACUGGGAUAACUUCGGGAAACCGGAGCUAAUACCGGAUAACAUGUUGAACCGCAUGGUUCAACAGUGAAAGACGGUUUUGCUGUCACUUAUAGAUGGAUCCGCGCCGCAUUAGCUAGUUGGUAAGGUAACGGCUUACCAAGGCAACGAUGCGUAGCCGACCUGAGAGGGUGAUCGGCCAACCGGGACCGGGGACCCGGCCCAGCCCCCCAGGGGGGGAAGCAGUAGGGAAUUUUCCGCAAUGGGGGAAACCCUGCGGGAGCAACGCCGGGGGAGGGAAAAAGGUUUGGGGUUCGUAAAACCUUUUUUUUGGGGAAAAAAAAAUGUGAAAGUAAUUAUGCCGGUUUUGACGGUACCUAACAAGAAAGCCACGGCUAACUACGU
rnacentral:rRNA from 1 species